GUGCUUGAUGUUGUACCAGAGGGCUCUUAUACUGUCCUCUUUUUUUUUCUCUUUUCUUCUUUUGUUUAGCGUCAGUGAUUUCCACUACUCUGUCUUCCAGCUCACUGAUCCGUUUACCACCUACCUCUUUGAGAGGCUCUCCAAGACCAGCAGGUUCCAGUCUUUUUCAUCGAUGGCUGUUCUGCAGAUCGUUGUGAUUUUGGUGUGCUUGUGAGAGGAGGCUCACUGUCCCACGUCCUUCAAAGCCUCUCUGGACAGCUCCAGUGACCUCUGCAGACACACCUCCUUCCACAACAACUCCCAGCAAGGGCUACUUAAAAUUAUCCACAGAAAUCUGGUCUGAACCCUUACUUCAAGGUCUAGCUCCUUUGCAAAUACUUCUCAGGACCCCAGGGGCCUUCAAAUCGGGCCAAGUUACAGUGUGUCAAAGUGUGCAGCGCCUCAAGGUGAGUGUCUGGAGCCUGGAGACUCAUUCAGUGGCACACAGUCACGCCCAUUCCUUUCCGGACUGGCCUCGGCUGC